AUAGCCAAUAAUAAAACAAUAGUUUCUGCUGUGUCCCUUGUGUGUCAGUAGGUGGCAGAGAGGAGAGAAUCUAUGUCUACCCUCAGUUCUGAGCUUUGUACAUCUGAAUGAUUAGUAGCCUAACAUU